rnacentral:rRNA from 1 species
GCGCUAUGCAUGCAGUCGAACGGGCGAAGGGGCUUCGGCCCCCUAGCUAGUGGCAGACGGCUGAGUAAUACGUAAGUGAUCUACCCCGGAGAGGGGGAUAAGCCGAAGAAAUCCGGUCUAAUACCCCGUACGCUCCCUCUAUUACGGUAGAGAGAGGAAAGUUCCGGCGCUCUGGGAGGAGCUUGCGGCCUAUCAUGGUAGUUGGUGGGGUAAAAGCCUACCAAGCCGAAGACGGGUAACCGGUGUGAGAGCACGAUCGGUCAGAGGGGGACUGAGACACGGCCCCCACUCCUACGGGAGGCAGCAGCAGGGAAUCUUGCGCAAUGGGCGAAAGCCUGACGCAGCGACACCGCGUGGGGGAUGAAGGCUCUCGAGUUGUAAACCCCUUUUCUCGGGGAAGAGACAGGACGGUACCCGAGGAAUAAGGUUCGGCUAACUACGUGCCAGCAGCCGCGGUAAUACGUAGGAACCGAGCGUUGUCCGGAUUUACUGGGCGUAAAGUGCGCGUAGGCGGUUCGUUAAGUCUCAUGUGAAAUCUCCCGGCUCAACUGGGAGGGGUCAUGGGAUACUGGCAGACUUGAGUACAGCAGAGGGGAGUGGAAUUCCCGGAGUAGUGGUGGAAUGCGUAGAUACCGGGAGGAACACCAGAGGCGAAGGCGACUCCCUGGGCUGUGUCUGACGCUGAGGCGCGAAAGCGUGGGUAGCAAACCGGAUUAGAUACCCGGGUAGUCCACGCCCUAAACGAUGGAUACUAGGUAUGGGGGGUAUCGACCCCCUCCGUGCCGCAGCUAACGCAUUAAGUAUCCCGCCUGAGGAGUACGGCCGCAAGGCUAAAACUCAAAGGAAUUGACGGGGACCCGCACAAGCAGCGGAUCGUGUGGUUUAAUUCGAUGAUAAGCGAAGAACCUUACCAGGGCUUGAAAUGCAUCUGACAGGCUGGGAAACCAGUUUUUCCUUCGGGA